rnacentral:lncRNA from 1 species
GUUGUCAUGGGAAGGCUCACCCACUGUGGGCGAGUCCAUUCCCUCUUCAGGGAUCCUGGACUGUGUAAGAUGGAGAGAGUAGGUUGGGCAGCAAUCUGUGUUCGAUGCUCUCUUCUGACGGUGGAUGUAAGGAGUCCCAUGGAGUCCUUGAGCCAGGCUGAGGGAAAGCAGUGCAAGUUCAGGGCUACGACUUCAACCUGAGACCAAAAGGAGGACUACUUAGGGAAAGUGCUCAGAACACCACCUCCGAACACAAGAAGUCCCGGAUUUCUACCCGGCAAAACCCUACCUCUGGAAUGUUAGAAGGUGACAACUUCUGGCCAAUCCGAGUUCUGCAUUGCCCUGGCCUCCAGGGACCUGGUGCCAGAUUGGUCAAAAGACCCAAAGAUCCUUGAAUCUUUGGGGGAAAGAGGCUCUCUGGUUCUCCUCUCCACCUCCUACUAAGUUCCUGAGACCGACAGAGCCAGAGCCUGAGUGACACUACCUGGGGAAGCCUUGGUCUGGUUCAUCCAGUUCCGUGCCUUGGAGGUCCUGCUCUGCUCACAGCUAAAUAACACAUAUCUAAGCCGUGAAUCAGGCCUGAAACACUCGCCCACACAGCAGUGGUGAAACUGAACUUUCAACCGCCAUCCUCUGCAGGGGAGUGAGGUCAUACGGUAAG